rnacentral:sRNA from 1 species
CGUUCUUGGGAUCACGGUCUGUAAAUAGAAGCCAUAUCAUUUCGCUUUCAUUUAUUUUUGUUUGAUUUAUUAUUUUCUAAUGGCUAAACAAUGUUUCUUAGACCGAAGAAAGUCUUAUGGUUUGAUUGUGGCUGCAUUCGUCAUGGCGUUUAUCAUGCUAAGGUACUUGGAGCUCAUCGAGUUCCCUGCUCAGAACUUCACUGCAUUGUUUGUUUUCAACAACAACUGGCUGGGGACACAGAAAGAGGAGACACCUGUCUUG